CACCAUUCAGAGAGGUAAUGAUGGCUGUUGAUGGAGACGAUGUGACUAUCUCCUGCAAUUAUUCAGGCUCUGUGAACAACCUCUACUGGUAUCAGCAGGAAUCAGGUUCAUCUCCACAACAUCUCAUAGGAGGAUAUUCAGAGAAAAUAGAGAAGUUGUCUACAGGACAUGACAAACAAUCUAAGGAGUUUCAUCUGGAGAUCUCCUCUGCUAAACAUCUGGAUCUACAGAUCUCCUCUGCUGCACUGGCUGACUCUGCUGUGUACUACUGU